UACGGAGGGUGCAAGCGUUAUCCGGAUUCACUGGGUUUAAAGGGUACGUAGGUGGGCAAGUAAGUCAGUGGUGAAAUCUCCGGGCUUAACCCGGAAACUGCCAUUGAUACUAUUUGUCUUGAAUACUGUGGAGGUCAGCGGAAUAUGUCAUGUAGCGGUGAAAUGCUUAGAUAUGACAUAGAACACCAAUUGCGAAGGCAGCUGGCUACACAAAUAUUGACACUGAGGCACGAAAGCGUGGGGAUCAAACAGG
rnacentral:rRNA from 1 species